rnacentral:lncRNA from 1 species
UGAAUAUAUAUUUUUUUUGUUCCGAUGUAUAUUUUAGUCGAACCAACGUAUUCUUUAAUCGAAUUUUCCAUCCAAUUUUUGUUUUUUCGAUAUAAUUCGUAGCUUAUUUCGUAAUUUGCAGUAUAUAUUUGAUUUCUUUGUAAAAUUCUGAUUCCACGAUAUAUUACUCGUCGAAUUCGAUUUCGUUGGCCAUUAUCAAAAGCUUGUGCAAAGCUGGUAUUUUUUUUCAAACGUUACUGCAUUUGAUUUUUUUCAAUGUAUAUUUUUC